UGGGGAAUUUUGGACAAUGGGCGAAAGCCUGAUCCAGCAAUGCCGCGUGUGUGAAGAAGGCCUUCGGGUUGUAAAGCACUUUUGUCCGGAAAGAAAUCCUUGGCUCUAAUACAGUCGGGGGAUGACGGUACCGGAAGAAUAAGCACCGGCUAACUACGUGCCAGCAGCCGCGGUAAUACGUAGGGUGCAAGCGUUAAUCGGAAUUACUGGGCGUAAAGCGUGCGCAGGCGGUUUGCUAAGACCGAUGUGAAAUCCCCGGGCUCAACCUGGGAACUGCAUUGGUGACUGGCAGGCUAGAGUAUGGCAGAGGGGGGUUAGAAUUCGNNCUGUGCAGUGAAUGCAGUAGGAGAUGGUGGAGGAAGUACCGAUGGCGAAGGCAGCCCCCUGGGCCAAUACUGACGCUCAUGCACGAAAAGCGUGGGGAGCAAACAGGAUUAGAUACCCUGGUAGUCCACGCCCUAAACGAUGUCAACUAGUUGUUGGGGAUUCAUUUCCUUAGUAACGUAGCUAACGCGUGAAGUUGACCGCCUGGGGGAGUACGGUCGCGAGAUUAAAACUCAAAGGAAUUGACGGGGUCAUAGCUGUUUCCU
rnacentral:rRNA from 1 species